rnacentral:rRNA from 1 species
UGGUUGUCGUCAGCUCGUGCCGUGAGGUGUCGGGUUAAGUCCCAUAACGAGCGCAACCCUUAUCGUUAGUUGCCAGCUGGUAAAGCAGGGGACUCUAGCGAAACUGCCACCGUAAGGUGAGAGGAAGGUGGGAUGACGUCAAAUCAGCACGGCCCUUAUGUCCAGGGCUACACACGUGUUACAAUGGCCGGCACAGAGGGCAGCUACCUGGUGACAGGAUGCUAAUCUCGAAAAACCGGUCUCAGUUCGGAUCGAAGUCUGCAACUCGACUUCGUGAAGCUGGAUUCGCUAGUAAUCGCGCAUCAGCUAUGGCGCGGUGAAUACGUUCCCGGGCCUU